rnacentral:rRNA from 1 species
CAGCAGCCGCGGUAAAACGUAGGUGGCAAGCGUUGUCCGGAAUUAUUGGGCGUAAAGCGCGCGCAGGCGGAUAGGUCAGUCUGUCUUAAAAGUUCGGGGCUUAACCCCGUGAUGAGAUGGAAACUGCCAAUCUAGAGUAUCGGAGAGGAAAGUGGAAUUCCUAGUGUAGCGGUGAAAUGCGUAGAUAUUAGGAAGAACACCAGUGGCGAAGGCGACUUUCUGGACGAAAACUGACGCUGAGGCGCGAAAGCCAGGGGAGCGAACGGGAUUAGAGACCCCGGUAGUCCCUGUCUCUUAUACC